GAUGAACGCUGGCGGCGUGCCUAACACAUGCAAGUCGAGCGAUUCUCUUCGGAGAAGAGCGGCGGACGGGUGAGUAACGCGUGGGUAACCUGCCCUGUACACAUGGAUAACAUACCGAAAGGUAUGCUAAUACGAGAUAAUAUGCUUUUAUCGCAUGGUAGAAGUAUCAAAGCUCCGGCGGUACAGGAUGGACCCGCGUCUGAUUAGCUAGUUGGUAAGGUAACGGCUUACCAAGGCGACGAUCAGUAGCCGACCUGAGAGGGUGGUCGGCCACAUUGGAACUGAGACACGGUCCAAACUCCUACGGGAGGCAGCAGUGGGGAAUAUUGCACAAUGGGCGAAAGCCUGAUGCAGCAACGCCGCGCGAGCGAUGAAGGCCUUCGGGUCGUAAAGCUCUGUCCUCAAGGAAGAUAAUGACGGUACUUGAGGAGGAAGCCCCGGCUAACUACGUGCCAGCCGCCGCCGUAA
rnacentral:rRNA from 1 species